rnacentral:lncRNA from 1 species
CGUGAUCCGCCCACCUCAGCCUCCCAAAGUGCUGGGAUUACAGGCGUGAGCCACCGCACCUGGCCAAGAAGCAUUUUCUAAACUAAUCUUCUCCUACAAAUAGCCCCUGGACCUUGAGGAUCAUAAAUGGUCAUCAUUUAACAUUUUUUUCUGCUAGAAGUAUUGAGCCUCUUUGUUGUAUUGAGACCAAAAGAAGAUCUGUCACCCCCCUCCACUCCCCUACAGAUGUACAUACAACUUUCGGCAAUCUCAGAGAGUUUGAAGCUACAAUUCUAUUACAAACGACGUGCUACAAGUAUGCUUUUAAAAUAAAUUAUUUUUCCAGUUUUUUCACUUUAACCUCUGCCCCAGUGGUCGUAAAAACAGAGGCAUGGAGACUGAGUUCUUUUCUGUGGACCAUUAUGCAUCUAUCUUUUCCAAUAGUUUCCUUUGCCUCUGCUCUUUUUUGCUGUACAAAGACAGAAAUUUCUAAACAGAGCCUUUAAUAGUCCAUUACUUUUUACCCAUGUUAUGCAAUGUAGCUUUAAAGACGAACUUUUCCAGCAAACUGCUGCUUGUGUGAAUGCCUGUUUGGGAGUGAGACUUCCCUACUGGAAAAAUAACUAACACACACUACACCAUAGUUACGAUUACAUCACAAUAAAUAUUCUAUGCAGGACUAGGAACAGUUCCUCAAAGAAAAAUGCUUGGGGAACGGGUAAUUGGAAUGAACUACAAGCAUUUUCACUGAGCUCAAAGAAACUGCAAGAAAAAAGAUCUUCGAUCUGCAUCCAAGUAUUUUUUUUGUCUGAAAGAACACUGUGUGAGGAAUUUUGACAUUCUCUGCAUUCUAAUGAAAAUGACUUGGAAAGUAGAGGCUUCUCUAUACAUUUGCCUCAUUGCCGCCACGAUGGGCACCGUUUAUCAGGAAUAAAGAGAGAAGAUCAAGAAAGUAGUUCUUUUCUGGAGAAUUUUGUGCUCUGGCUCUUAAGUACUUUUGCUUUGCCAUGAAUGUGAAUAUUUUAAAGGCCAAAAAAGCCCCCUCCAUUUGAGUUGCAGAUGGCCACAGGAACCCAACAAGAAUGCUAACAACUCAUUUUAAAAAGGGAAAAAGAAAGGAAGUGCCAAGUUCCACACUGCAUAUCCAUACUGAUGUUGAGCCCAUCUUGGCCUAGCUGGUAGAACUGAAAAUUGAGAAUAAUAUUAAGGGGCUGCAAUGAUCCCUAAGGGUAAAAAUAAAUGUGUUUCUGAAAACAACAGCCACAUCCACAAUGAAAUAGACAUGAAACAAGAUAACCCAAGAACACAUUUGUUUUCCUUGUAACAGGGAUGCGUUAAGUUCAUUAUUCAGAGGACUUUGAUUACCCUUUUCAAAGAUUUUUGGUGAGUUUAAUUUUCAAGGCUGUUAACCACUGAUGUCAACUUAAUUAUAGCAAGCAAACAACCAACCCAUAAUGUAUGAUGCCAAUUGUUGGUUUUACUCUAGUCUUGCAUUAGACUUGGAUUUCUUUGCUCAUUUAUAACUUUCUGAGGGAGGAAGGUUUCUGCGCAGUCACUUGCUUUCCCUUAGCUGGUGUCUUUGUUCUCCAGUUUGCCAUGGGGGAUUGAGGGAACAGAUAUUUAUGACUUAUUAUCUCAGUAUUAACAGUGCCCCCUCAAUGAUUUAUGAAGCUGUGCUGUUGCAUUUCUAACCUUGAUGUCCUUCUGAUUAUUGUUCUCAAAUGGUAAGAUUAACACAGUGGGGCCCAAAGAUUCUUAAUCAGUUUCUUGCAUACAAAUUCACCCAAAUGUAGGGAAGAGAGAGUCCUUGGUGGCAUAACGACUUCCAGAUGGAAUGAACUGAGAACAUCUAAGCACUUAACCCAAAGCACCCUUAUAUUUGUCACCAUGAACAUGAUGUCCUCACACUAAAAUUUAGUUAUACUUUUGUAUCUCAGCAUUCAAUGAACUAGAAUUCUAGAAUGGCAUGUACAUCUUGUGUUAAAGUUCAGGACAUUUGUUGGUAUAUGUGUUUCUUUUCUUCCAAAGGGUGACAGUGAUCCAGGAUGAAGGUCCUUUGACUAUACAUUUCAGCGUUCAAUUGAGUGUUGGAAGCAAUCAGAAGACUGGAAGCAAUUUACUAAUAAGAGAACAUGCCCUACAGCUCUGGCCUGUGAAAAGAGUUUCAGAAUCACGAUGUAGCCACAAGUCAAAUUCUAGAAAGAAUUAAUGGCACAUCUCAUAGUUCUUUCAUUUGCUGGCUGAUUCAUUCCAGAGUGGUUUUGAGGACAGAAUGAAGCAAGAUGAAAAACAGCACUUUGAAAAUGGAGUGUGUGGUAUUCAUCUUAGAUACACUUUUAGAGAAGAAGAAAUGUGUCUCAGAAAAAGGACCUCUUCUGACUCAAAUUUAGCUUACAUCCCCUUCUCAACCAUAUCCCAGGUGAUAAAAUAUGACACCCAGCAGAAAUUCCAUCCAAACACAGGAAAGAAGCAGGCCCGGGGGCUUGGAGAUGAUACUUGUCCAGAAAUCCCAUGAUUAUUUUGCUAUAGCAGACGAUGACCUUCUCAAAGGAAGCCUAUCAAACGCUCAAGAUAAAUAAUGAGAAGGUCUCUCUCUCCUGCCUCCAGGAAAAAACUGCACAGAGGAAAAAUGUUUGCUAAACCAUUAAUAUGUUCAUCCCAGGAUGGGAAGCAGCUUGGUCUAAAAGAAACAGAGUGGCACAUGUGUUUGUGUGUGACCAGUGGCCCCAUUCAACAGGACUCCUGGGGCAGCAUCCAUGGAGGGGCCUCAGGAGACACACCUAAGCCCUUUACCCAGUAACGUCGGAAAUGAAUGUUUCUCUGGUGGCAGACAGGGUACCUUCUAAACCUCUUGACUCAUGAGCAAAUUAACUCAAGGUAAGGAAGCACUGGGUAAUGCCGUCUCUCAACAACCUAGAAAAAACAUGGUUCUGCUUUACUAGGCCCUGGAACUACAAUUAAUGGUAAUGAAUUCCCUCUUCCCUCACAUUCCCACCUUCCCACCAGGCAGCAAAUACUCAGGUGGCAAAAGAAGCUUUCUGUCUGUUUUUCUCCCCAUGGAAGCAAGGUUUCGCAGAGUAGGUAGAGAGCUGCAGUAGAAAUUGCAACUUUCCCAUGAUUUAAGUGCUUUGGCUGCCCUGGAGAAUGGGGCUGAUUUCUCAGGGCAAAAGUCAACUCUCCAUCCAUUUAUGGCUCUUGUCCAAUCUAUGGACAGCUGAAGACACAGAUCUUAACUCCAGGAGUUGGUGUAAGAUCCUUCCCAGCAGUGAAAUGGAAAGAGUUUUCAAAGACAUAGGGUCCUCUAUGGGAAGAGGUGGGAGAGUCAGGAGGUGAGGAAGAAAAUUUUCUAUUCCAAGGCAAGCUCAGGAAUCAAUGGGCUGAACCAAGUAGUACCCAAUGGCUGGGUAGGGGCAAGGGUAAAAAAGCAAUCUCAAAAGUAAUCAGGAUUCAAAUGAUCCAGGGAUUUGCAGAUAAAAUUAAAACUGCUCAGCAACACUUCAGGAGAAAAAGUCAGUAGCAUGCAGAUAGUUAUCAAGCACAUUAUUUUGCCAGCCAGCUGAGGAUGGCAGCAAGCUAAAUUUUGAGUCCAGAAAGGUGGUUAGGGUUUCUGUGCUCUGGAUUGUACAUCUUCCUCUCUCUAACUUGUUCUCCCCACCUUUUAGGAUGGCCAACACCCUCUUAUCACUUGAGACUCAGAAGAAGGGAAAUCUCCUCUGAAUUCUUUUCUGACCAGGGGCCCUGAUGACUGCCCCUUGUUGUCCCUUCAUCCCUGUGUGGACCAUUCUCAUGGCAUGGUGGGUAUUUACUGUGUAUAUCGGUUGCCAUAGCUCAGUCUCCCUUGUAGGGACUGAACCUAUUUAUCUUCACAUCUCUUGUGGCCAGAACACACCUGGCAUAUAGGUGGUCCAUAAAUGCUAGUGGAAUAAAAGGAGGAUGCUAAUUAUGUUUAUUUACUGGUCAUCCUUUUCCCCCCUAUCACUUUAACUUUCACCUCUCUAAUGCCCUUUAAUGUCCUUGAAAGCGAUUGAAUUCCUAAGACAAGCUGCCAUACUUUCUGGUGGAGAAUACACAUUUAUUUCCUGAAGGGUAGUUAAUGUCUAAUCACCCAGAAGACAUUUAGGUUUCUUUUAUUUAGAAAGCGGAGAUAAUAACUCCCCCAGUAAGUAAACAGGAAAAUAGACUUUGUUCUUCAAAAAAAAUUUGAUUAACAUAGUUUCAAGGAACAUUUCUACUGUUGUAAACCAAGGUUCUUGAAAUAAUCAACAACAUUACAGAUUGCAAGGUUAGAGAUUAAAACAUGCAAAAUAAGUGGAAUCAUACCAUUUAGCAAUGGAAAGACAGACUAUGUCGGUGAGGUGUUUUAAAUACCCAAACAGUUUUAUGACAAAAAAAAUCCUCACUAUAAACAAAAUGAAUUAGGGAUUUGCCUUGGAAUGAAGGUUUAAAAAUAAUGGGAUGAGUUUAAAGAAUACUGCAGGCCCUUAAAGACGAUGAGAGAUUUUGAGAGGCCUGAGUGACUUCAGUGGGGUCCAUCCCUAAAAUAAUGAAGGACUAAGUAAGUCAAACCUUAGGGUCGCCUCUGCAGAUCUUUAGCCUGGCCUGUGCAAUUGUAUUGCACAGAGGAAUACAAUAUGGCAGGAACAGACCAAUGUAACAGGUAGCAAUUGUUCACGCACCAGAUCUGGCACCAGCUACCAGAGGGAGGGUGAAAGAGGGGAAAAUUAUCUUUUCUUCAACUCUGUGAAGACUUAGAGUUUCAGAUAGUUAAAUGUGAGUGGGCUGGUGUUUCCUCUUUGCUAGAUUUAGUGUGUGCGGUUUCUCUGCCAUGUAUAUCUAUAGUUCUCUAAAGUGACUGGAGAAAUACUUUUCCUUAAAUCAGUGGUAAAGAAGUUACUGGCAAAAUGUCCCUUAAAUAUUCCUGUUGGGUGCUACCAAAGGAUUAUUUAAAAUCAUGAAAAUAAUCCAAAAGCUGCUCCCACUGGAAAAUGACUAGGAGAAAGAUGUUUAAAUUCAAAACUGCUAAGCACGGACACCUACCUAAACACACACACACACACACACACACACACACACACACACACACACCCUUCCUCUGAAGCUUUCCAGGGAUAGCUAUAGAAAUUUCAUUUUAAGCAAGGGAAAAAAAAAUAGAAUCACCCCCUCACAAAAAUGUUUGAGUAUAUUUUGGUCUCUUGGUCAGGGCCAAUAAAGAUCUCUUGUUGUGAGCCAACUAGAACAGAAAUGGAGUGAGAGAUGUACUACUUUAUGUGGUCUGAAUGUGAUUAGCGAUUAGCGCUGGUGGCUUCAGUCACUUGGGAAUGGCAAUCAGGGUUUUGCUCCUGCAACUCUGAACGACUACAAAACACCCUUGGCUUCCAUCCCAUAUGAUGAUGGGAUAUUAACUGAAAAUCUAAUUAAUCUGUGAAUGAAUUAUGGCCUAAGAAAUAUACCAUUUUAUAAUCAAUUUUAAGCGAGUCCCUAACAGAAGAUAAGAUGAAGAAAAAGCUGUAAAAUUGUAAGAGGUUGGUACAUUCUGUUCACUAUGACUGAUGAUUUUAAGGGGGAUAAUUUUACAAUCCAUCACAUUUUUGUCAUUUUAAAAAUCAUGCCUCCCAAUGAAUGUUGUAAAUUAACUUUAGAAUUUACAUAUUUAUUAAAAAUUGUAUAGAAAACAGCAGGAACUGUGCCCCAUUUGAAUAAUAAAAUAACUUGUUAUUCCACUGAAGACAAAAACACACAAAAAAAUCAAAAGAUUUUAUUUUCAGGUAAUAAUCAUAUUAAUUGCUAUCUGAAUUAGUUAAACCAAGAAUUAAUAUUCACCAGAGGCAGUGACACAGCAUUAAAGAUAAUCCUCCAAAUUCCCAUUUUCAAACAUGUCUCAGAACAUGUAAAAGCAAGGGAAAGACAAAUGGGGAGGUGAGGACCAUGUUCUUAGCCUGCGGGGUUGGGCAGCAGCAGAUGUUUGAAGCUGAGCUACAUCACCUGGGGGAAGGGGAGGUGCAGACAGCAAAACACAUGAUUUGGCUCUGAGAUGAAGAAGCACAGGACUUCAUUUUAAAAGCCUCUUUGCUUGUGAGGCUGAGGUGGGCAGAUCGUUUCAGACCAGGAGUUCGAGAUCACCCUGGGCAACACGGUGAGACUCUAUCUCUACAAAAAAUACAAAAAUUAGCUGAGUGUGGUGGCAGGCACCUGUGGUCCCACCUACUUGGGAGGCAGAGGUGGGAGGAUUGAUCAAGCCCAGGAGAUUGAGGCUACAGUGAGCCGUGAUGGCACCACUGUACUCUAGCCUGCGUGGUGGAAUGAGACACCAACUCAAAAAAAAAAAAAAAAAAAAGCCUCUUUCCAAAAAGAUUCUCUACUCUACUUCUCCUACUUUGGUUGAACUCCCUACCCAGAAUGGAAGGUUUGCUGGAGGCAACAGAACAUCCCAGAUGACUCCAGAGCAUGCAGGGAAAUAACCAGAAGGGCAUGGAACCAUGCCACAUAACAUGUGGGUGAAUACAACCAUUCACUCUAGAUUAACCUCAUAAUGGACUGUCAACUCAAAGAACUGGCUCCAAGAUAGGAACUGCAUGGAUUCAUCCACAGAAGGAUGAAGGGGUCAAGGGGAAUAGAACUGGUGUGUUACCACAUGUACUCACUAGUAAGAGUAACCCAUUGGGCUGAACUGACACAAGAUGUUCUCUUGAAAUUCCUGAGAGAUGAGGGAGAAGGAUAAUGCAGUACAUGUUUUUCAUGAACUUCAGUUUAAUCAUGAUUCCUUCUUUCCAUGAGGGAUUCAUGAUAGGCUGUUACCACUAUUUUUAAGAAAAGAGCAGAGAUCCUUCAUGAAGUACUGUAGUUGAGUGUGAGGCUUGGCUCACACUGCCUCUGCUACUCAGAGUUCAUUGCUUCAGUGCAGACAUGGCUAAUACCUGGCACUUGUGCGGCAACCAACUCCUCUCAUGCCCACAGCAGGCAUUGCUUAUCAGUCUCUGUCAUCUGUCAUCUGUCAUCCCAAGCAUGGAUAGGGCCUCAGAAUCCUUCUUAACACCACAAUUCAGGCAACCUCUGUCUAUUGAUUGUCCUUGGCAUUUGAGAUGAAAGCUAUCUUGCAUCCUUGUGUGUGUGUGUGUGUAUUUAUACAUGGGAAAUAUUUAUAUAUUAUCAGCAUAUAAUUAAAUCUAGCUAGCUAUAUAUUACAUCUAUAUACAGAGAUCCAAAUACCUAUAUUAUAUCUAACUGUCUGCUAAUGGUGUAGUCAUAUUCCUUAGUAUCUGCAGCUAAUAUGAGAUAUAGAUUGAUAUCUUAGUAUAUGAAAACUUGAAGUCACCUUUGACUCUUCUCUUUGUCUCAUACUCCACAUCUACCAGUCUUCUGGUAAAUUGCCUGUUUGUUCUCAGAAACAGCAAGUCCUUGAAUAAUAUCCUUUUGUUCAAUGUUAUUUUUUUAUAACAUUGAUGAGAAAAAAAAAUCAAUUCCUGCCAGGCCACUGUCUGUGUGGAGUUGGUAUGUCUCCCCAUGUCUGUGUGGGUUUUCUCCAGGGACUUCAGGUUCCUCUCACAUCCCAAGGCUAUGCGUGAGAGAUAAAUUGGUGUGUCUACAUGGUCCCAGCAUCAGUGAGCAUAAGUGUUCUGCAAAGGAACUGUGUCCUGUCCAGGGCUGGUUCCUGCUUUGUGUCCUAACUGCUGGGAUAGAUUCCAGCCACCUGCAACCCUGAGCUGGAAUAAUUGGGAAAAUAAUGGACUUACUUGUUUUUAUUCACCUUUCUUAAGUACGUGUACAGUUCACAUGUGUUUCAAUGUUUAAUAUUAGAAGUGUUCUGGUCUCUGUUUAGAAGUUUAGUAAUGUUUCUGUGACCAGGAAUAUGCCCUAGGAACUCAGCUCUUGCUUGUAUCAAUUAGCCUCGGAUAAAGUUGGUUUCUUUAUAUGUUGUUUUGCCUAAAGUCACAGCUUCUGAGAACCUACAACUUUAAGCAAGGACUUACUGUGCAUUCUUCUCCUUUCCCCUGCUCCACUCUGCACCAUAGGAACUACAUUUUCCAGGCUCCCUUUAUUUCUGGCUUCUGGGAAGGUUCAGCCAAUGGGAAGCAAUAGCAGAAGGCAGAAGCCUGGACAGUAAGAGGAGGGGGGGAAACAAGGCAUUUCUCCCCUUCUCUGUGUCCUGUGCUGUUCCUAGCAGCACCCACUUCUCCCUCACUGCUCUAACUUCCACCAUGUGCCCCUUCCCAUCCAUGGUUUUAGCUUCCAUUGGACAGUCCAGCUUCUAGACUCUAAUGUCACUCUGCCAUUUCCCUCCAUCCUUAAAGAGGGUGGUGACUUCCUGCUCUGCUAAUUUCUAGAUCAUGACUGUCUCCUGUUGAGUAUCUCAGCUAUUCCAUUAUUUGGAUAAGCCGUUUACUGUAUUGAAUUCCCUCUACUGAAAGGCCUAAAAUAGUUCCCAUUCCAUGCUAGGCCCUGACCAAUACAAUCAGGAAAUUCUGUUUGUGCAACUUUAAUCCAGUCAUUCUUCACCAUUUGUUUUUUGCUACCAUCAGCUCUUGCCUAGAUGACCACAUUAGUUUCCCAACUGUGCUUCCACUCUCUCCUCCUGAUAGCCUGUUCUUCAUACAAAAGCCAAGGCAUCCCUUAGAAACUGUAAAUCAGGUCAUCCCACUCCCCUGUUAAAACUCCUCAGAUGGUUUCCCUUUGCUGACAAUGAAUCCUAAAAUUCUCCCCACAGCCUAUAAGGUCCGAUAUAAGUGGCUCCUAGAUUCUUCUCCACACUAUUUCUCUUCCUCUCUGUGGUUCUGCUCCAGCCAUAAUGGUCCAGGGACACGUCACACAUACCCCUCCUUCAGGGCCUUUGCACUUGCUAUACCCGCUACCUAACAUGUUCCUCUUUCGAUUAGUCACGUUUCAGUGUUUCACUUCAUUCAAACCUGACAGAGCAAGAGAAUCACCAUCUUGGACAAGCACCGCCAUUUUAAAAUGCCCCUUGAUCAAAAACCACCUAAAUCCAAAGGGCAUCAGCCUAAUGGCUAAGAUCAGCAUGACCAUAAAUCACAAAUGACAUCUCCGACCAGAAACAUUCCAACAAUAAGAUAAACCCCUCCCUGACUGGAGGGAUGUCAGCCCCAAGAUAGCCUCUCCUCCAACCACAGACAUUCCCACCCUGCAAUAAACUUCUCCCCGCCACAGAAAUAUUCCAAGCCCGUGAUAAGUUCUCUCACCCUGAACCCUUAAAUACUAUUAGUCUGUAAGAGAGAGCACUCUUGACAAAAAUUGGCCAGAAGCCCCUGUCAGGUUUAUUCUCCAAAAUAAACCUGUCUUUGACCUUUCAGCUGCUUUUCAUGUUUCUUUCCUUUCUUUACCUCUUACAAAACCUCUGUUCAAAUGUCCCUUCUUCAGAAAGGCCUUUCCCAAUCAGUCACUCUGAAGCCAUGCCCUCAUUAUAUCCCAUCUAUGAAGCCUGCUUGAUUUUAUUUUAUUUUAUUUUAUUUUAUUU